UCAGACGGCCGGACGGUCGCUCCGCAGCUUGCUGCGGGGAGGAAAGUCCGGGCUCCACGGAUGCGGGGCGCCGGGUAACGCCCGGCGGGAGCAAUCCCAGGGAAAGCGCCGCAGAGAGCAGACCGCCGCGGAUUCGUUCGCGGCAAGGGUGAAAGGGUGCGGUAAGAGCGCACCGCGCCCCUGGCAACAGGGGCGGCAUGGCAAGCCACGCCUGGAGCAAGACCAAGUAGGGACGGCGGGCCUUGAGUGGCCGGGCGAGCAUCCGCGCCGCUGUCCGGGUAGGUCGCGCGAGGCGCGCCGCGAGGCGCGUCCCAGAUGAAUGAUCGUCCUCGACAGAACCCGGCUUACAGGCCGUCUGACCGC
rnacentral:RNase_P_RNA from 1 species